UACGUAGGGGGCGAGCGUUGUCCGGAGUUACUGGGCGUAAAGGGCAUGCAGGCGGUCGGACGCGUUUCGGGUGACAGCGGGUGGCUUAACUACCCGAGUGGUCGAAAGACGGUUUGACUUGAGGACGCGAGAGGGACACGGAAUUCCGGGUGGAGUGGUGAAAUGCGUAGAGAUCCGGAGGAACACCGAAGGCGAAGGCAGUGUCCUGGCGCGUAACUGACGCUGAGGUGCGAAAGCCAGGGGAGCAAACAGG
rnacentral:rRNA from 1 species